rnacentral:rRNA from 1 species
ACGGGUGAGUAACGCGCUGAGAAUCUGCCUUCAGGUCGGGGACAACCACUGGAAACGGUGGCUAAUACCGGAUAUACCUAACAGUGAAAGAUUUAUUGCCUGAAGAGGAGCUCGCGUCUGAUUAGCUAGUUGGUGGGGUAAAAGCCUACCAAGGCGACGAUCAGUAGCUGGUCUGAGAGGACGAUCAGCCACACUGGAACUGAGAAACGGUCCAGACUCCUACGGGAGGCAGCAGUGGGGAAUUUUCCGCAAUGGGCGAAAGCCUGACGGAGCAAUACCGCGUGAGGGAGGAAGGCUCUUGGGUUGUAAACCUCUUUUCUCAGGGAAGAAGACCUGACGGUACCUGAGGAAUCAGCAUCGGCUAACUCCGUGCCAGCAGCCGCGGUAAUACGGAGGAUGCAAGCGUUAUCCGGAAUGAUUGGGCGUAAAGCGUCCGCAGGUGGCCUUGUUAGUCUGCUGUCAAAGAGUCUGGCUCAACCAGAUAAAGGCAGUGGAAACUACACAGCUAGAGUACGUUCGGGGCAGAGGGAAUUCCUGGUGUAGCGGUGAAAUGCGUAGAGAUCAGGAAGAACACCGGUGGCGAAAGCGCUCUGCUAGGCCGUAACUGACACUGAGGGACGAAAGCUAGGGGAGCGAAUGGGAUUAGAUACCCCAGUAGUCCUAGCCGUAAACGAUGGAUACUAGGUGUUGCUUGUAUCGACCCGAGCAGUACCGUAGCUAACGCGUUAAGUAUCCCGCCUGGGGAGUACGCAGGCAACUGUGAAACUCAAAGGAAUUGACGGGGGCCCGCACAAGCGGUGGAGUAUGUGGUUUAAUUCGAUGCAACGCGAAGAACCUUACCAGGGCUUGACAUGUCGCGAACCCUUGUGAAAGCAGGGGGUGCCUUCGGGAGCGCGAACACAGGUGGUGCAUGGCUGUCGUCAGCUCGUGUCGUGAGAUGUUGGGUUAAGUCCCGCAACGAGCGCAACCCUCGUUUUUAGUUGCCAUCAUUAAGUUGGGCACUCUAGAGAGACUGCCGGUGACAAACCGGAGGAAGGUGGGGAUGACGUCAAGUCAGCAUGCCCCUUACGUCCUGGGCUACACACGUACUACAAUGCGCCGAACAGAGGGCAGCUAACCAGCGAUGGCAAGCUAAUCCCGGAAAUCGGCGCUCAGUUCAGAUCGCAGGCUGCAACUCGCCUGCGUGAAGUUGGAAUCGCUAGUAAUUGCAGGUCAGCAUACUGCAGUGAAUUCGUUCCCGGGCCUUGUACACACCGCCCGUCACACCAUGGAAGCUGGUAGUGCCCGAAGUCAUUACCCCAACCUUUCGGGGAGGGGGAUGCCUAAGGCAGGACUGGUGACUGGGGUGAAGUCGUAACAAGGUAGCG